AGGACGAACGCUGGCGGCGUGCUUAACACAUGCAAGUCGAGCGGUGAUCCUCCUUCGGGAGGUGAUCAGCGGCGAACGGGUGAGUAACACGUGGGCAACCUGCCCUCCACUCUGGGAUAACUCCGGGAAACCGGGGCUAAUACUGGAUACGACCUUCGGCCGCAUGGCUGGGGGUGGAAAGUUUUUCGGUGGAGGAUGGGCCCGCGGCCUAUCAGCUUGUUGGUGGGGUGAUGGCCUACCAAGGCGGUGACGGGUA
rnacentral:rRNA from 1 species